rnacentral:lncRNA from 1 species
CAAUCAGAAUGGAAAGUUUCCCAAAGUUCCAAUCCCCUCCCAGCCAAACCACUCAGAAAGGAGAACUCACCUUAAGUCCCGCCUCCAGACAGCUCACUGGGCCAACAGAAAGCCAUCUGGUUCUCCAUCACCUCCUCAGACUUCCCAUCCCCACCCCGCAGACGCCCAGGAGCCGGUGGUGGUAAGAAGCUGAAGGAUGAUUCAUCCCUGGCUACCCCUCCCAGUGUGAGAUAGCAAGAGGCUUUAGCAUCCUUAAGUGCCCUGAGGAUGCAGGCAGGAACAAGAUUGUUUGUCCUGAAAAUGUCCUUAGCGUCACGAUUCUGCUGCUUACACCUCCGUGAUGUUGCUCGCCAUAUCGCUCCGUCCUGUUUGUCCGGUAGACCCGUCGUUGGAUCCACCUGCACCGUCCAAUAUGGCAGCCAUUAGCCCUCCGUGGCUACCAGACAUCUGAAGUGUGGCUGGUACAACUGAGGAACUGAGCUUUUUAUUUCGUUUAAUUUGAAUUAAUUUAAAUUUUAAAAUGGAUAAUCGGUUCGGUUACAGGAAAACUUUUAAGUAUGUUCAGAACAACUUUUUCUCUUGUGAAUUUACUUUUUCCCUUAUGAAUUUCACAAGCUCUAAAUACGGGUCAAGUAUUUCGAGUGGAUAUUUAGCAUCUAAAUUGAAAUACGUUCUAAGCAUAAAAUACAAACUGGAUUUCAAAGACCGAGUCCAAGAAGAAAGUAUGCGAAAUAUCUCAUUACUAUUUUUAUAUUGAUUACCUAUUGAAAUAAUAUUUUGGACAUAUUGGACUAAAUAAAACAUAUUAUUAAAAUUCAUUCCACGGUUUCUUCUUACCUUUUUAAAGUGGUUACUAGCAGGAAAGUUUAAAUUAUAUAUGGGGCUCAGUUUGAACGUCUUGCUAAGAGUCAGGUUGCACUUUUUUGGGAAGACAGUUUCCUGGGUGCUGUGGCCUUGUUCCAGCAAAGGUUCCGAUCUUGUCGUCUUGUUGGGAUCUUAUCACACCCUGACUUAAAGCUCUAUCAGUUAUUAGGGAUUGCAAAGUGGUGAUACUCGUGUUCCGUCACUCUGUCGUUUUUUCUUUUUACUAGCUGGAAUACGCCUAUAAAAGGAAACUUGUUCUGCUCCAGCAAGGGUUACCCUGAGGCGUAGUUUGUGAAGGAAAAAGAGGAUAAAUGCUUAACAUUUUCCCUUUCUUUGUUAUUUUUCAAA